rnacentral:rRNA from 1 species
UACGUAGGAGGCGAGCGUUGUCCGGAGUUACUGGGCGUAAAGCGUGCGCAGGCGGUUUGCUAAGAGAGAUGUGAAAUCCCCGGGCUCAACCUGGGAACUGCAUCUGUGACUGCAUCGCUGGAGUGCGGCAGAGGGGGAUGGAAUUCCGCGUGUAGCAGUGAAAUGCGUAGAUAUGCGGAGGAACACCGGUGGCGAAGGCGGUUCUCUGGGCCUUACCUGACGCUGAGGAGCGAAAGCGUGGGGAGCGAACAGG